rnacentral:lncRNA from 1 species
CUAUGCCCUGCUCUGAAAAGACACCUGCCAUUUCUCCCCCAGCAAGCAGGCCUGACCUGCCAGGAGGGCAGCAUGCAGCUGUGCUUUGCCUGCUCUCCAAGCAUGCCAUGGCCCUGAACCAGGGGUCUUGGCUGACCGCAGACUAUAACCUGUAUAGUGCCUACGAUUAUACAAUACCAUCUACGGAGUAAGCGCUUGUGAAAACUGCUCUUCCUGCUGGCUGCAAUGGAUGAGUGGCUCAGUGGUCUGGCCUGGCUGCAAAACACUUUAUAGAUACAGGAGCUGGUGUCACAGACGAAGGUUAUAGAGGAAAUGGUGGGACUGUAGUGCUUAAUUUGGGUAAAGAAAGGUUUGAAGUCAAAAAAAGUGAUCAAAUUGCACCAGUUUUCUGUGAAUGGAUUUUUUAUCCGUAAACAGAAGUUCAAGCUCUGGAUGAAACUGAAAGGCCUUCAGAAGGUUUAGGUUCCACUGGAAA